rnacentral:rRNA from 1 species
GGGAAUAUUGCACAAUGGGCGAAAGCCUGAUGCAGCGCCGCCGCGUGAGUGAAGGAGUAUUUCUGUAUGUAAAGCUCUAUCAGCAGGGAAGAAAAUGACGGUACCUGACUAAGAAGCCCCGGCUAACUACGUGCCAGCAGCCGCGGUAAUACGGAGGGGGCAAGCGUUAUCCGGAUUUACUGGGUGUAAAGGGAGCGUUGACGGCGAAGCAAGUCUGAAGUGAAAACCCAGGGCUCAACCCUGGGACUGCUUUGGAAACUGCUUUGCUAGAGUGUCGGAGAGGUAAGUGGAAUUCCUAGUGUAGCGGUGAAAUGCGUAGAUAUUAGGAGGAACACCAGUGGCGAAGGCGGCUUACUGGACGAUAACUGACGUCGAGGCUCGAAAGCGUGGGGAGCAAGCA